GACGAACGCUGGCGGCGUGCUUAACACAUGCAAGUCGAACGGAAAGGCCCUGCUUUUGUGGGGUGCUCGAGUGGCGAACGGGUGAGUAACACGUGAGUAACCUGCCCUUGAUUUUGGGAUAACUUCAGGAAACUGGGGCUAAUACCGGAUAGGAGCUCCUGCUGCAUGGUGGGGGUGGGAAAGUUUCGGCGGUUGGGGAUGGACUCGCGGCCUAUCAGCUUGUUGGUGGGGUAGUGGCUUACCAAGGCUUUGACGGGUAGCCGGCCUGAGAGGGUGACCGGCCACAUUGGGACUGAGAUACGACCCAGACUCCUACGGGAGGCAGCAGUGGGGAAUAUUGCACAAUGGGCGGAAGCCUGAUGCAGCAACGCCGCGUGCGGGAUGACGGCCUUCGGGUUGUAAACCGCUUUCGCCUGUGACGAAGCGUGAGUGACGGUAAUGGGUAAAGAAGCACCGGCUAACUACGUG
rnacentral:rRNA from 1 species